GGAACCCUAGGGAGGGAUACUAAUCCAGCCUUAGGAAAAGGAACCUGCCAGGGAGUCUUGGAGAUUGGUGACCAUGCUAAUGACUUA
rnacentral:pre_miRNA from 1 species